AAGUGGCACACAGUGAGGAGGUUU
rnacentral:piRNA from 1 species